CCACUCUCCACACCCAACUAUUUCUCGGCCCACCUAGUGUUCACCACAACUGCCGAACGACAAAAGAAGCUAGACACUUGGAUGAGUUGGCCGCAAGCUUCCUCCAAUCACCCUUGCCGAACGGCAAGGGCCUUCUGAAUCAAAUCGGGUGCUGUUUUCGUACCUUGCUCCAGCUGCCGAAGCAAACACUAGAAGCCGAAGACUUGCCCUGCCGAAGCAAAGUUCCACCGCCCAGCUCCUCCAGCUGUCUUGCCGAGGGUCCUCAACCCCGUGCUGCCCUGCCGAAGCCCAGCCACCUGCAGAGCCCCCUCGAACAGCACCUCCACUGCACCUGCCGAUCGGCAAAGCAACUCCUCCAGCUACCCAGCCGUCACCCGCUGCCGAAGCAACCUUGCCGAAGAACCAAAACAGCCACCGUGGCCAAGACCAGCCCCCUUCGCCCGAAGCCUGCCCAGCCCCCUUCGCCCGA
rnacentral:lncRNA from 1 species